rnacentral:lncRNA from 1 species
GUGUUCCCAUGAACAAUCUAACCAAAUUUAGGCAAUUUUCAACGACUCAUAGCUUGAAAAAUAGCACUUUGACCCCUCCUUUUUAUUAUAUAUUUGAAAAGAGCAUAUUAAAAUCUCCAUUCUGGCUAAGUAUAAGAAAAUUCUGUCUUAAAAAAUAUUUACUUAUGAUCUACCUUAAUACCGUCGCCUAAGUAAGGAAUAUGUUAUCAGUCCACUUCCUGAUUUUAAUAAUCAUUUUUGAUACGAUAAUUUAUUUGACAUUUUUCACUGUAGAAC